ACGAGAAUCUGUGGAAAGAGGAUUCGUCCAAUUGAAGCAGAGGACAGUGGCGGACGGGUGAGUAACGCGUGAGGAACCUGCCUUUCAGAGGGGGACAACAGUUGGAAACGACUGCUAAUACCGCAUAACAUAUAGAUGUCGCAUGGCAUUUAUAUCAAAGAUUUAUCGCUGAAAGAUGGCCUCGCGUCUGAUUAGCUAGUUGGUGAGGUAACGGCCCACCAAGGCGACGAUCAGUAGCCGGACUGAGAGGUUGAACGGCCACAUUGGGACUGAGAUACGGCCCAGACUCCUACGGGAGGCAGCAGUGGGGAAUAUUGGGCAAUGGGCGCAAGCCUGACCCAGCAACGCCGCGUGAAGGAAGAAGGCUUUCGGGUUGUAAACUUCUUUUGUCAGGGACGAGUAGAAGACGGUACCUGACGAAUAAGCCACGGCUAACUACGUGCCAGCAGCCGCGGUAAUACAUAGGUGGCAAGCGUUGUCCCGAUUUACUGGGUGUAAAGGGCGUGUAGCCGGGAGGGCAAGUCAGAUGUGAAAUCCACGGGCUCAACUCGUGAACUGCAUUUGAAACUACUCUUCUUGAGUAUCGGAGAGGCAAUCGGAAUUCCUAGUGUAGCGGUGAAAUGCGUAGAUAUUAGGAGGAACACCAGUGGCGAAGGCGGAUUGCUGGACGACAACUGACGGUGA
rnacentral:rRNA from 1 species